UCGAAAUGUCCACAGAAGGAGGAUUUGGUGGUACUAGCAGCAGUGAUGCCCAGCAGAGCCUGCAGUCCUUCUGGCCUCACGUCAUGGAAGAAAUGCAGAAUUUAACAGUGAAAGAUUUCGGAGCACAAGAACUCCCACUGGCUCGUAUUAAGAAGAUUAUGAAACUGGAUGAAGAUGUGAAAAUGAUCAGUGCUGAGGCCCCUGUGCUGUUUGCCAAGGCAGCCCAGAUUUUUAUCACUGAGUUGACUCUUCGAGCCUGGAUUCAUACGGAGGAUAACAAGCGCCGGACCCUACAGAGGAAUGAUAUCGCCACGGCAAUUACAAAAUUUGAUCAGUUUGACUUUCUCAUCGAUAUUGUUCCAAGAGAUGAACUGAAACCACCAAAGCGUCAGGAGGAGGUGCGCCAGUCUGUAACUCCUGUUGAGUCUGUCCAGUACUACUUCACGCUGGCUCAGCAGCCCACUGCCGUCCAAGUCCAGGGGCAACAGCAAGGCCAGCCGACCACCAGCUCCAUGACCCCCAUCCAGCCUGGGCAGAUCAUCGCACAGCCUCGUCAGGGCUAGACCACACCCAUGACGAUGCAAGUCGGAGAAGGUCAGCAGGUGCAGAUUGUCCAGACCCAGCGGCAGGGUCAAGCGCAACAGUCCAGAGUGGCAGUGGACAGACCAUGCAACAGAUCAUCAGGAACACAGGAGAGAUCCUGCAGAAACUGGUACAGCUCAGUACUGGCCAGCUGCAGUAUAUCCACUUAGCCCAGCCUGUAUCAGGCACCCAAGUAAUGCAGGGACCGAUGCAGACCCUUGCCACCAAUGCCAAACAGAUUCACAGACAGAGGUCCAGCAAGGACAGCAGCAGUUCAGCCAGUUCAGAGAUGGACAGCAGCUCUACUAGAUCCAGCAAGUCACAUGCCUGCAGGCCAGGACCUCACUCAGCUCAUGCUCAUCCAGUCAGCCAACCAGCCCUCCGACAGGCAGGCCCCUCAAGCGACCAGGGACUGA